CACUUUGUCUUUAUGGCAAAUGUGAGAUGCAGUGUAUGGAAUGUCAAAUUUCUAGUAUGAGAAAUUAACGAUUUAAGUCCUUCUUAAAUGAGGCCAUUUACCCAUAGAGGGUGCCAGGCCCGUAUAACGUUAAUGAUUACUAGAUGGCAUUUCCAAAGAGUCGUGUUGCUUGAUAGUGCAGCACUAAGUUGGUGGUAAACUCCAUCUAAAACUAAAUAUAACCAUGAGACCGAUAGUAAACAAGUACCGUGAGGGAAAGUUGAAAAGAACUCUGAAUAGAGAGUUAAAUAGUACGUGAAACUGCUUAGAGGUUAAGCCCGAUGAACCUGAAUAUCCAUUAUAGAAAAUUCAUCAUUAUGACUUAAAUACUUAUUAGUAUUUUAAUAAUAGUGUGCAUUUUUUCUAUAGAGGACAUUGUAAUCUAUUAACAUAAAAUAAAUUUAUCAUAAGAUCAAUGGCUUAAGUUUACUCAAAUUAUUUUGCUUUCAAUUUAACAUAGAAUAAAUGCUAUUGAUUUGAUAAAGUGUUGAUAGAUUUAUAAUAUACAGUGCUUGAAUAUUUGAUAUUGUAUAAUAGCAUAUUAAUUAUUAAUUUUUAUGUUUAUUUUAUGCACUUGUAUGAUUAACAAUGCGAAAGAUUCAGGAUACCUUCGGGACCCGUCUUGAAACACGGACCAAGGAGUCUAACAUAUUUGCAAGUUAUUGGGAGUAAAAACCUAAUAGCGAAAUUAACAUAACUUAAAAUUAAUUGGGAUUAGUUUUUAGCCUAUUUAUAGUCUAUUAAUUCAAUCCCGGGGCGUUCUAUACAGUUAUGUAUAAUAAUAUUUAUAUUAUUUAUACCUCUAACUAGAGCGUACCUUGAGCAUAUAUGCUGUGACCCGAAAGAUGGUGAACUAUACUUGAUCAGGUUGAAGUCAGGGGAAACCCUGAUGGAAGACCGAAACAGUUCUGACGUGCAAAUCGAUUGUCAGAAUUGCA
rnacentral:rRNA from 1 species